GCAAUAUUUAUUGCAUACCAGGAGAGUCAAAAUGAUUUAUUUCUCCCUUAUAUUGCAUUUCCGUAACUUUUACAGUAUUAAAAUGAUUAACAAAAGCAUAAAACUGGAAACAAAAACAAUCAUUGAGACUGUCUCCCCUGGCACCCCACAGCCCAUCAUCAGCAGGGACUGCACUGUGUAUUCACACCCACACGGAGAGGCUGAGAUUCAGUCCUUGUAACAGGAUAUACUCUGUUCUCAGAAGGGAAUAAACUGCCUUUCCCAGGAAACAGGAAGGCACUCAAGGCAUGGGCUGCUGUAAGCCUGGCUGGUGGGAAUCCUCAAACAAGGUCCUGGUUCUUCACUGGAGAAGCACUCUCAGGGCACGUGCUUUAGAUGUCCAUGUCAAACUGCUCUUCUUCACCUACAUUCGCUUUCUCAUCGUAGUUCUGGACAUGGUUGUUCUCAAUCUUUAACUCCUCCACAAUUGGGCUGGUAACACCUGGAAUGUCCGGAAGGUCAGAAGGUGGUGUUUUGGCAACCGGAGAAUUACGGCACUCCAUCAGGAACUUACGGUCAUAAAUAAUCCUGGUUCCGCCCGGAGUGGUCCCGAAGACGGUGCCCCCAGGCGUGGUGCUGUAGUCGCCGGGCGGCAGCGGGGCGCCGUCGGGCAGGGCCAGGCGCUUGCCAGGGCCCGGGAUGUCGCGGCUCGGCGUCUGUCCCUGGCAGCAGCGGCCCGACAUGGCGCCGGGACACGGGCUGCUGCUGCUGCGGCCGCCCCGCCGCCUGCCCGCCGCUUCCGGUGCAAGCCACGCCCCUUCCGCCGCGAGGUGCGAUGGGAAACGGGGCGGGGCGGGGCUUAGGCCAUGGGCGGGGGCUACGCUG
rnacentral:lncRNA from 1 species